AUGCCAGAGCCGGCCCUCCCCGGACCCCCCCAGCCUGGGGAAGGGAGGAUACACUGGGCUCCCCCCGCACCUGGGCCUGCCCUCCCAGACCCCCCAGCCUGGGGAAAGGGGGAUACACUGGGUCCCCCCGCACCUGGGCCUGCCCUCCCAGACCCCCCCAGCCUGGGGAAGGGGGGAUACACUGGGCCCCCCUACACCAGAGCCUGCCCUCCCGGACCACCCCCUCCCCAGCCUGAGGAAGAGGGGAUGCCCAGGCCCCCAGCCUGGAGGAGGCUCAGCUGCCAGCCGGAGCAGAGGGGAGGAGAGGAGGGCGUGGGGCUCCGGGCUGGAGCGGGGCGGCUGCGCCCUCUGGUGACAGCCGUAGGAAGCGGCAGGGCCCCGCAGACAAAGGCUCGCCACCCGGUGGCCCCGACCCCCAAGUCGCCCCCCACCAGGCACCUAUUGGCAACGGCCCGCCCUGCUCUGGGGCCUUCUGGGCGGGCCCCACGCAGGACACACGCCCUGGGCCUCCCGCAGCUCGGGCCCCACGGCAUACCCCAUGUGUGGGACACCCCCCCCCAGGGCAAACCCGCUCCCCUCUGCGGUGGGCCAGACCCCCAGCCGUCCUCGCCCGCUGCCCGGGCUGGGGGGCCACUGCGCCUGGCCCCGGGCUCCCCGCCCCACCCCAAGCUCCAAGGCAGCAGCUCGGGGAGGGAGUCACUGUUCAGUGGCUUUUCCCUGGCGCCUGCCAGGCCCUGGUGGCCGACCUCCGACUGCGCGGGGAGCCUCCCAGGGGCAGGAGACAACAGCCUACAAUGGAGGCACUUACUGGGGGCCCAAGUCGCGCUGGCACUUUACGGUCACCAGGUCGCUGCAGCCCCCAGCCACGGAGACAACUCGGGCUCAGAAGGUCCCGGGCUUCACCAGGGGCUGCCGUUUGCUGAGCCCCCACCACUUCCCAGGCCUGGCACCACGCCAGCCGGCCACGGGGCUCAUCGCACGCCAGCCCGGGUGAGGUUAAGACGUCCCCGUCCCCGUUCCGCAGACAAGGAAAGGAAGGAAUGUAAAAUUUACAUCAAGGCACCCAACAUGGGCGCCCGGGGGCUCAGGGCGUGA
rnacentral:lncRNA from 1 species